UACGAAGGGUGCUAGCGUUGCUCGGAUUGACUGGGCGUAAAGGGCGCGUAGGCGGUUCGUUCAGUCAGACGUGAAAUUCCUGGGCUCAACCUGGGGGCUGCGUUUGAUACGUGCGGACUUGAGUGCGGAAGAGGGUCGUGGAAUUCCCAGUGUAGAGGUGAAAUUCGUAGAUAUUGGGAAGAACACCGGUGGCGAAGGCGGCGACCUGGUCCGAUACUGACGCUGAGGCGCGAAAGCGUGGGGAGCAAACAGG
rnacentral:rRNA from 1 species